rnacentral:rRNA from 1 species
ACAACCAAUAUCAAUGGAUCUCUAGGCUCUGGUAUCGAUGAAGAACGCAGCGAGAAGCGAUAUCUGAUAUGAAUCGCAAAUCCCUGGAAUCAUUGAGU